rnacentral:rRNA from 1 species
UACGGAGGGGGUUAGCGUUGUUCGGAAUUACUGGGCGUAAAGCGCAUGCAGGUGGAUAGUUAAGUCAGAUGUGAAAGCCCGGGGCUCAACCUCGGAACCGCAUUUGAAACUGGCUAUCUAGAGUACUGUAGAGGGGGGUAGAAUUUCAGGUGUAGCGGUGAAAUGCGUAGAGAUCUGAAGGAAUACCAGUGGCGAAGGCGGCCCCCUGGACAGAUACUGACACUCAGAUGCGAAAGCGUGGGGAGCAAACAGG